AUGGACACCCAGGAUGGAAAGGAGCCAUUUGCAAGGCACAAACAUCAGCCUUCACCAGGGACUCAACACAGGCCAGAAGCCAGUUUCAGUUAUGCUUUUGUCCAUGUCAUGCAUGCCACUGGGAUGUCUGCAGAAGGAAGCAGUGAAGAAGCAGUCGUGAGAGGCGAUUCUUUCCAUGCGUUUUCUCCAGAAACCCUUGUGAGAGAUGAUUCUGUUCAUGCGUUUUCUCCAGAAAUGAGGUUGCAUGAAGGUCAUCUGCCUCUGUCAGAGCCAACUUUACAAGUGUGCGCUGAGCCUGGGACUUCCCGUGUGAAGAUGCAAGGCUGGCAGAAACCCAGACAGGCUUACUAAACUGAAAUUCAACUUCGACUUACUGCUGAGAGCAAAGGGCCAUAAUGAAGGUGUCUUCGUCCAUUUCGUGUUGCUAUAAAGGAAUACCUGAGACUGGGUUACUUAUAAAGAAAAUAAAGUGUAUUUGGCUCAUGAUUCUGAUGGUUGGAAACUUCAUGAUUGGGCAUCUGUCUCUGGUGGGGGCCUGGGGCUGCUUCCACUCGUGGCAGAAGGUGAAGGAGAGCUGGCGUGUGCAGACAUCACAUCUCAAAAGAGGAGGCAAGAGAGAGAUGGGGGAGGUGUCAGGCUCUUUUCAACAACUAGUUUUCUUGGGAACUGACAGAACAAGAACUCACUCACCCCACUGAGAAAAGGCAUUAAUCUAUUCAUGAGGGAUCCACCCUCAUGACCCAAACACCUCCCAUUAGGCCCCACCUCCAACAUUGGGGAUCAAAUUUCAACAUGAGGUUUGAAGGGGAUAAAUAUCCAAACUAUAGCAGAAUCUGAGCAACGAUUAGCAAGUGUCAUUAACAUGAAUACACAAAACCCACAGGUCUGGGGCUCCCACCAACUGGGUAAGGCCUCAGAUGCCUACAAAAUCCCUUUGAGUAUUUCCUGAGGUCCCAGAGUGGGGAAGGGGUUAUCCUACACAUACCCCCAAACAAGUUCAUGCUAGCUGGACAGCACCACAUCCUUGUGGCUGCCUGCGCAGGGCUGGGUCUAGUUUUCAUGGGUAGUCAAACUGUUGUCUAGGACAGGGUGCUAUAGUUCAGUGUUCUCCAGGAUGAAGCCUCAGGAUGUCAAAGUAGCCUCUCUUCCCA
rnacentral:lncRNA from 1 species